CCUACGGGAGGCUGCAGUGGGGAAUAUUGGACAAUGGGGGCAACCCUGAUCCAGCCAUGCCGCGUGUGUGAAGAAGGCCCUCGGGUUGUAAAGCACUUUCAGUGAGGAAGAACGCCUGGUGGUUAAUACCCAUCAGGAAAGACAUCACUCACAGAAGAAGCACCGGCUAACUCCGUGCCAGCAGCCGCGGUAAUACGGAGGGUGCGAGCGUUAAUCGGAAUUACUGGGCGUAAAGCGCGCGUAGGUGGCUUGAUAAGCCGGUUGUGAAAGCCCCGGGCUCAACCUAGGAACGGCAUCCGGAACUGUCAAGCUAGAGUGCAGGAGAGGAAGGUAGGAUUCCCGGUGUAGCGGUGAAAUGCGUAGAGAUCGGGAGGAAUACCAGUGGCGAAGGCGGCCUUCUGGACUGACACUGACACUGAGGUGCGAAAGCGUGGGUAGCAAACAGGAUUAGAUACCCUAGUAGUC
rnacentral:rRNA from 1 species